rnacentral:snRNA from 1 species
ACCUCAUGUUUUUUGCACAUCACGAAUAAAUCUUUCGCCUUUACUAAAGAUUUCCGUGUGUAAGAAACAACUGAAUGAGAUUUUAAGUAUUUAUCUUAUAGCCGGUCUUCUCUGACUGGU